AGCAUCUUGAAAUUUCCUAAUCUUAAUCUUAGUAUUUUUUAUUUUAAUGAAAACAUAUGAAAUAGCAGAAAAUCACAUAUAUUUUAUCCUAAGCAUACAGCAGAUUCAGCAGACUUCACAGUUCAUUGGACACCUUUAAGGACCUUGGGGCAAUUGUCUAAGUAGUCACCAAGCAGAUACACUGCUUUGAUAUUGUAACUGAAACCUCAUCUUUGAGCAGGAUAAAUUUCUUCAAAAUAUAUUAUGGCAAACACCAGUCCCUCUACAAACAUGGUGCUGUAGCCAAGGCAGCCAAGACCAGCUCCUCACUGAAAACACACUACAAAUAAAUGUAGGCAGAGAAAAUGAGACCCUCAGGUAUUCGUCCUAGAAAACACGCACAUCAGAUCCGGUAUAUCGGGACCUCGCUGGCCUCACCAACUGUCUUGGGUAGCUCCAUGGCUCAGACUACAUCAUACUCUGAGGAAAAAUCCCCCAGCAAGGUGGAAAUGCUUUUCAAGGAAGAAGCAAGGGGAAGGUGAAGAUGACUGUCUGAUUGGGAGCUACAUAUGUGACUGAGAGGAGGCAGAACCACCUGAAUCUCUCAACUGUCCCUUUAGUUGUUGCUUUAUUGAAAAACAGAAGAGGAUAAUAUACAGAAAAUUUUGCAGGGCAGUACAAGGGCUACUCAUACAUCCCACAUGACUGUUCCUGGGAGUUUUUGCAUAGUGAACUGUGACAGAGUAAACUGGGAAGAAAUUUCUACAGGUUAUUUCAGUUAGCCACUAACACUUCCAGAAUUGCCUAGACUGAGAGAGACUGGAGGGAAAGGCUGGGGGAUGAACCUGGAGUACUUCAAGAUCCAGCUUUUUCUAAGAGGAAGGAAAGCAAUUAAAAAACAACAACAACAACAAAAAAAGACUGCAUAUUAAUCAUAUUAAUGAAUGUCCAAGAAGAAAUUUGCUUUAAGUGGUGUAUGAACACCUUGUUAAACUAAGACCCCCAGAAGAGUAGAAUAAACUAAAAGAGUGCAAGCUAUGUACUGACUGC
rnacentral:lncRNA from 1 species